ACCAAUUCCUGAGGAUGAUUUGUGUUCCUCGUGGCACGCGAUUCUUUGAUGUGUAGUAUGUCCUGAUUGGUGGUGUCCUCUGUGCCAGCUUAUCCUGGAAACGCCACAUACUUUA
rfam:Hordeum vulgare subsp. vulgare, WGS project CAJW01000000 data, contig: morex_contig_1567590